UACGUAGGGUGCGAGCGUUAAUCGGAAUUACUGGGCGUAAAGCGUGCGCAGGCGGUAAUGUAAGACAGAUGUGAAAUCCCCGGGCUUAACCUGGGACCUGCAUUUGUGACUGCAUUGCUAGAGUACGGUAGAGGGGGAUGGAAUUCCGCGUGUAGCAGUGAAAUGCGUAGAUAUGCGGAGGAACACCGAUGGCGAAGGCAAUCCCCUGGACCUGUACUGACGCUCAUGCACGAAAGCGUGGGGAGCAAACAGG
rnacentral:rRNA from 1 species